UGCCAGCCGCCGCGGUAAUACGAAUCGGGCAAGCGUUGUUCGGAAUCACUGGGCUUAAAGCGUGCGCAGGCGGACUUGAAAGUCGGGAGUGAAAUCCCAGGGCUCAACCCUGGAACUGCUCUCGAAACUCCAAGUCUAGAAUUCGAUAGAGGUAGGGGGAAUUCCUAGUGUAGAGGUGAAAUUCGCAGAUAUUAGGAGGAACGCCAGUGGCGUAGGCGCCCUACUGGGUCGAUAUUGACGCUCAUGUACGAAAGCGUGGGGAGCAAACAGGAUUAGAUA
rnacentral:rRNA from 1 species